UUGGGGCUUAGGGUGUAGGUAUUAGGGGUUAAGGGUCAUGGUUUAUGAUUUAUAGGUUUAAGAUUUAAGGUUUAAGGGAUAAGAGGGUCUAUGUCAAUUUAGGGUUAAGGGUUUAGGGUUUAGGGUUUAGGGUAAAAAGUUUACGGUUGAUGGUUUUCAGGAUAUAUAGGGGUUGUGGUUUAGGGUUUAGGUUAUUUAGUAUUUUUGACUAAUACAACCUGAC
rnacentral:lncRNA from 1 species